UACGUAGGGUCCGAGCGUUGUCCGGAUUUAUUGGGCGUAAAGAGCUCGUAGGCGGUUCCGUAAGUCAGAUGUGAAAACUCAGGGCUCAACCCGGAGACGCCAUCUGAUACUGCGGUGACUGGAGUCUGGUAGGGGAACACGGAAUUCCUGGUGUAGCGGUGAAAUGCGCAGAUAUCAGGAGGAACACCGAUGGCGAAGGCGGGUCUCUGGGCCGAUACUGACGCUGAGGAGCGAAAGCGUGGGGAGCGAACAGG
rnacentral:rRNA from 1 species